AGUGAACGCUGGCGGUAGGCCUAACACAUGCAAGUCGAACGGCAGCACAGAAAGAGCUUGCUCUUACGGGUGGCGAGUGGCGGACGGGUGAGGAAUACAUCGGAAUCUACUUUUUCGUGGGGGAUAACGUAGGGAAACUUACGCUAAUACCGCAUACGACCUACGGGUGAAAGCAGGGGAUCUUCGGACCUUGCGCGAUUGAAUGAGCCGAUGUCGAAUUAGCUAGUUGGCGGGGUAAAGGCCCACCAAGGCGACGAUCCGUAGCUGGUCUGAGAGGAUGAUCAGCCACACUGGAACUGAGACGCGGUCCAGACUCCUACGGGAGGCAGCAGUGGGGAAUAUUGGACAAUGGGCGCAAGCCUGAUCCAGCCAUACCGCGUGGGUGAAGAAGGCCUUCGGGUUGUAAAGCCCUUUUGUUGGGAAAGAAAAGCAGCAGGUUAAUACCCCGCUGUUCUGACGGUACCCAAAGAAUAAGCACCGGCUAACUUCGUG
rnacentral:rRNA from 1 species